rnacentral:rRNA from 1 species
GACGAACGCUGGCGGCGUGCCUAAUACAUGCAAGUAGAACGCUGAAGGAGGAGCUUGCUUCUCUGGCUGAGUUGCGAACGUGUGAGUAACGCGUAGGUAACCUUCCUGGUAGCGGGGGAUAACUAUUGGAAACGAUAGCUAAUACCGCAUAAGAGUAGAUGUUGCAUGACAUUUUCUUGAACGGUGCAUUUGCAUCACUACCAGAUGGACCUGCGUUGUAUUAGCUAUGUGGUGGGGUAACGGCUCACCAAGGCGACGAUACAUAGCCGACAUGGGAGGGGGGUCGGCCAAACUGGGACUGGGACACGGGCCAAACUCCUACGGGAGGGAGCAGGAGGGAAACAUCGGCAAUGGGCGGAAGGCUGACCGAGGAAAGCCGGGGGAGGGAAGAAGGUUUUCGGAUCGGAAAGGUCUGUUGUAAGAGAAGAACGAGUGGGAGAGUGGAAAGUUGACACUGUGACGGUAUCUUACCAGAAAGGGACGGCUAACUACGUG